ACAGGAAGUCCAGGAAGCAGCCUUGUUGAGACUGCUUAAGGCUACAGCUGUCUCUUUUUUGCGGAAGGGCACUGCUGCUAGAAUGGAGGAACACAACCAUAAUCUAGAGCAAGCAGACACUUCUGAGGGAGGCCCUAACAGGAUUCAUCAUUCUCUUUAAUGAGAAUGUCCUCCUGAUGUGUGCUGUGUUGAAGGAGAUGCUUGUAAGAUUAGCAGCUUUUAUAAGGAGAAAAGCAGAACAUCAAUGGAAGCCAAGAAUCACUCUACCUGACACCUGGAGGGAUUUCAGUAUGUACAAGGUGAAAGUUGGAAUCUGAAGAGGCAAGACAGAGAAUUGAUGCUUUGGAACUUUAUGUUGGAAAAAACUCCUGAGAAUACACUGGCUAGCCAAGAAAAGAAACUGAUAGAUCUGCUCAGAGUUCCCGCUCAAGGCACAAAUGAGCAGAGUCAAAUUAUCCUAUUUUGGACACCGUAUGUGAAGAUCUAUCUCUCUGGGGAAGGCUCUACUGCUGGGAAAGAUUGAAGGAAAGAGAAGAGGACAACCAGCUGCAAGGGGGGGUGGACUCAGUUACAGUGGCAGAGAGUGAACAAUUAGAAGACCUGAAGGACUGGGUUGGAGAAAAUCCAAGCUAGGAAAACAAUCUUUUUGGGGGGUUGCUAAGAAUUAAUACUGAUUAAUUAUGUUGUAUUUACAAUCCCCUUCUCCGAAUCUACCCUCAAGCCUAGGAAGAUCCUGGGAAGUAGGAUCUUAUCUCACAUGAGGAGAAAAUAAGAAACAGCAGCAAGUAUUGCUCCUGCUGUCUUAAAAUGUCUCCAGCCAUUUCUUACCUGGUUCAAAACUGCAAAAAAAAAAAGAAAAGAAAAAAAGUGCAU